AUUGAACGCUGGCGGCAUGCUUUACACAUGCAAGUCGAACGGUAACAGGCCGCAAGGUGCUGACGAGUGGCGAACGGGUGAGUAAUGCAUCGGAACGUGCCCAGUCGUGGGGGAUAACUACUCGAAAGAGUAGCUAAUACCGCAUACGAUCUAUGGAUGAAAGCGGGGGACCGUAAGGCCUCGCGCGAUUGGAGCGGCCGAUGUCAGAUUAGGUAGUUGGUGGGGUAAAGGCUCACCAAGCCAACGAUCUGUAGCUGGUCUGAGAGGACGACCAGCCACACUGGGACUGAGACACGGCCCAGACUCCUACGGGAGGCAGCAGUGGGGAAUUUUGGACAAUGGGCGCAAGCCUGAUCCAGCAAUGCCGCGUGCAGGAAGAAGGCCUUCGGGUUGUAAACUGCUUUUGUACGGAACGAAACGGCUCUGGUUAAUACCCGGGGCUAAUGACGGUACCGAAAGAAUAAGCACCGGCUAACUACGUG
rnacentral:rRNA from 1 species